rnacentral:rRNA from 1 species
UAUAGAUCCUAUACGGGGAUUGGGCCUCUAGAUGCAUGCUCGAGCGGCCGCCAGUGUGAUGGAUAUCUGCAGAAUUCCAGCACACUGGCGGCCGUUACUAGUGGAUCCGAGCUCGGUACCAAGCUUGGCGUAAUCAUGGUCAUAGCUGUUUCCUGUGUGAAAUUGUUAUCCGCUCACAAUUCACCUACAUACGAGCCGGAAGCAUAAAGUGUAAAGCCUGGGGUGCCUAAUGAGUGAGCUAACUCACAUUAAUUGCGUUGCGCUCACUGCCCGCUUUCCAGUCGGGAAACCUGUCGUGCCAGCUGCAUUAAUGAAUCGGCCAACGCGCGGGGUAGAGGCGGUUUGCGUAU